GCCAAAUGUCACACCUGGUUUGUUCUGGCUCGGUCAGUGCAGUCCGUAUGCGGUUAGUCUGGUUCUCUUCCCCAGGGUCUCAAAGCAAAAAUAUGACUGAAUACAAGUAUGAAUCUGGACCACCGAAAGUAGACGGUGGCGAGGCCAAAAACGUCAAAAUUGCCCAGAAAUGGGAAGAAUUGAACAUGGAAUAUGAGGCGAAAAGGGAAUCUUUGCAAGCAGAAAUGAACAAGCAGUCCGAUGCGGAACCGGGAAACUGGCAAGAGCUAUACGAAAUGGACAACAACAAGAAAAUGGUCCUGAAAAAGAUGCGCGAAUCGCACGCCGAAGAGCUUGAACGCUUGAUGCAAGAGUAAUUCUGUUCUGAACGUGUAAAUGUGACUGGAAACUCUUGAUAGCCAGAUACUUGACUCUAGAAAACGCGCUCUGUGAGUUGUUCCCUAUCCUCGCCUUAUGACUCCGGUCUUUUGGGUUAUUCUGUACAUCGCUUUUUCGAGGACAAAGUCACAUCCUGGAUGCGACGUUAAUACGAUGACUUUUAAUAUACGAGAUUAAUUUCGAUUUUGUUACAAUAUCUACCCAGAUUUCAAGUAACCCGCGGUCAUGUAACACUAGAGCUAAAGCUUUAUAGAAGUCACCUUGUCACAUUUCACGUGUCACGUCUCACGUCUCACGGUAGUGAGUGCAUGAACCUAAUAAUUCUCAAAACGACUCUAAAUGGCCGGGAGGCCUGAAAGUGAUAGAGCCGCCUGCACUUCGGACAGUCCAGAACAGUGUGAACGAGCGUGACACGUGUGAACCAAAACAUGUGUGAAGAAUCCCAGGAGACGUGUAAUGCUUAUAUGGAGAGUUGCAAUACUAGGCAUUCUACAGACAAACGUCAUAACAGUUGGUGGGCACUUCAUACUACCAGCCAACCUCGGAGCCAAUAUAUAGGGCCUACUAUUUCUAUUUUCUAUUUUCCACUGAAUGCAAUAAUCUUAUACCACACUUGUAGACCUGACAAUCUUGACACUAGAGGCGCUGAUUUCGUCUGAAACUUUUAAAUUUCGGCGCUGGGGCGAGUUUGCAGACCUGAUUGACUCAGUAUCCUGGUUGGGGAAAUGUUAAUGAUAUAUUGUAGGAAAAGACAAAUAAACUUUUAUUAUUAGA